CCGCCAGGUGCAGACGUAGACCUCCAUUGGCCAGCAGCGUGGACGACAUAUCUAGCCUUUAUAUAGAUAUCUAUGGGUAAGAUGGCUUCUAAAACCAUUCCAGCAGCUGAUUGGUGGUUCAACGGCUGAUUGGAUCUUGGAGCUCCUCCUACUCGUCAGUGGCUGCAGCUGGCUGGGCUCUUUAAAAAGCCUAGUUUUGGAUCUGUUCACUUUCUGCUCCUGCAGUUGGUGUCUUUGUGUCUGAAAACAAGACGACUCCACUUUCACCGCUGCUUUUGUUUCCAGGUCGGUCAUAGUCAUUAGACGUGUGUGGCUCUUUUUGUCUUGGUUUAUUGUAUGUUAAAUGAAGUUCUCUACAGGCUUCUUGGGUAGAUGGAGAUUCGGUGCAGAAGCUGAAGGUUGAAGGUCUUCAGAGCGACUGAAGAGCUAAAUCAUGUUCAGACGUUACCUAUUUCCAAUCCAGGACAAACGGUUCAUUUCAGAGUUGUCCCCAUGAAACCCAACUUUGUGCCUUUUGAUCAAAUGAUGAAUGCCACGGGCUGUGCCUCUCUUACUAUUGAUGCGUCAGUGUUUUUCAACCCCAACGUUGAAGAGCAAAUGCAAGACACAUUUCUUGUGAAUGACACUGAGGAGAGAACAGAUGUAAUGUGUCAAAAUCUGCAACGGUGUCCAUUAUGUGUGUAGUUGGCAAAGUCACAUUUGUGGACCUCUUGGUUCGAUGCUUAAUGGAAAGAUCUACGUGACUCGACAAAGCUGUAUAUCUCUUGGAGGGGAGCAACUGCCCAACAAACUGCUUUCGAAUCAUCCACAAACAAGAAUGGAUGGGCUGCGUUCUCCCUAAACACUGUUAAUCUUAAGGCUGAUCUGAAUCUGGUAUAUUGAUGAUGGAUAAAUUGUAUAUUUGUGAAAAUAAAGUAAAAAAAAAAAAAAA